GGCCACUCACGUUCAAACACCCCUUCCUGUACGAUCACCGAAGUUAAGCAACGUUGAACCUGAUCAGUAACAAGAUAGGCGACCGCUUGAGAAUAUCAGGUCCUGUAGU